AGAUGCCUAGAUGCCGGGGUCUCUAUCUUCUCAUGCGGGACCAAGAAUGACACAACACCAAUAUGAUGAUCAGAUCGUUUGUUUAUUCUCUGAUUCUGGUUACAUUUAUAGUACUCUUAAGUUCCAUACACGUGCUUAUCUGUCCUCUAAUAG